AUGCAGAGUUGUGCCAUCAGUUAUGCUAUUGACAACCUUCCUUCCCGUGCGCAGAAUCUUGAGACUCUUACCAUAUAUUCUACUUGUGAGAGAGUCAAUGCACCAAUGGCAUCCAUCAAAUUCCUCCACCUCAAGUUCUUGAGUAUUCUUCUUGUUAGUGGAUCUAAUUUUGACCGGGACUAUGAUUAUUUAUCAUUGCUUCCUUUUUUUGAUGCUUCUCCUUCCCUGGAGACGUUUCGCUUGUUUGUAGCGGAGCAAUCCAUGUCUGACUGGUUUGAGGGAGAUCGCUCGUCUCUGAGGAGAAUGCCACAACACUGCCAUGGGAACCCCAAGAGUGUGAAGAUCGUCGGUUUCUUUCCCCAAAAGAGCAUGGUUGAGCUAACAUGUCAUAUUCUUGAGAAUGCAACGUCACUUGAGUCCCUUACAGUGGAUGCUAGUCCUGCUAAUUACCGGUGUUCUGGCAGGGGCAGGAAAUGCUGUCCCCUGGAAGCUACAGCUAUAGUGAAGGCACGUAAACCAGUCUUGGCUGUGAAAAAAUACAUCGAGGGGAAUGUUUCCUCUACAGUCAAGUUAAAUGUUCGGGAGCCUUGCAGACGAUGCCAUCGUUUGGUAAAAUCAGGUGUCAAGCCAUUCUAUCUGAUGUUUAAUGAUUAG
rnacentral:rRNA from 1 species